UCUUCCUAGGAAGGAGUUGAAUGGUUUUUCAAGAGACAGUUUGAGAUGAGACAGAAUAAAGUAUAAUCUCCACAAAGCAACAGAAUGAAGCACCCAGCUUGUAAACAGGAUGCUAGAGGACCUGCUCAGACGGCACAAAACAACUGCAAAUGAUGAAAAAGGCUGAAGAUGGAGGGUUUUAAAACAAGAAAGGACAACAAAAUGAUAACACCAUGUUCCUUAAAGGAAUCACUCAUGUUUAAAGCUGAGAUUGAGCUGAAAUUCAUGGUCGAUAAGAAAAACUGAAAGUAGUGGACUCUACUGGAUCUUGCCUUCAUUGGAGCUUACUACAGUGUGUCCAACGUAAUAAAUUCACAAUUCUCUAUGUUAAAUUCUUUCAUACAAUAGAAGCUUAUAAAAAGGAAUAUAGACUAAAGAGUAAGUUGCAUAAUGAGAUUUAAUCUAUGUAAAAUAUGUCCCAGAAGAAAUGUCCUUUACUUUGAUCAUAUCCCUUGAAACAAGAUCCCCUGCUGAAAACCACAAUAAAAUGGGAGCUUGGGAAAAAGCUCCUCUGGUGAGCAAGCUUGCUUUUAAUAUUAAAAGUUCACCCAGCCCACCAAGUCCAUGAUCCUGGGGUGGGCUUAAUUAAUGUCAAUGAAAUCUCGAAAGUUCCCUGAGGCUUAAAGGGGAAAUAAAUCUGUCUGGGUUCUCCAUGCCUUCCUCUCUGAGGUACUUUAUUUUGGAGCCUCACACACACAAGACACGUGCAUACAUCACACACAAACACGUACAUGCACACACAUGUGGGUGCACACGCACACAGGUAUCUGUUUCAUCAUGAAGCGUUCUCUUUCAAUAUUUUACUUAUUCAGAGGAGGCUUCCACAUCACUUUAUCAUCACUCUCCACUUAGAUCCAGAGUGU